CUGUGGUGAGGACAAGAACUUCCUUACCCUGGGGACCCUCUUGGGGACACAUCAUGACCUGGGGAUGCCUGGUGACUCUGCCUAUGGAGAGGACAAGAACUUCCUUACCCUGGGGAUCCUCUUGGGGACACAUCAUGACCUGGGCUCUGCCUAUGGAGAGGACAAGAACUUCCUUACCCUGGGGAUCCUCUUGGGGAGACACCAUGGCCUGGGGAUGCCUGGAGGCUCUGUCUAAGGUGGGGACCAGGGCUUCCUUAUCCUGGGGACCCAUGUGGAGAGACAACAUGGCCUGGGGAAGCCUGGGGGAUAUGUCUGUGGUGAGGACCAGGGAUUCCUUCUCCUUGGCACCUACCCAUGGAGACUCCACUGUGGAUUCAGGAUGACUGAGGUCCAGGUGAGGAAGACACGAGGAAGAAGCUUCCUGGGCACUGCCUGUUUGCUGAGGAAGAAGUUCUGCCAUGUUCUUUGCUUUCCCAGUUUUCGGCGGACACAACAUCUUUGUUUGUAUGUGGUGCUGAGGAUCGAACCAGGGCCGCACGCAUGCCAGGCAAGUGCGCUACCACUUGAGCCACAUCCCCAGCCCCGCAAAACACGGACUUGAAGAUCUACAGUGUAAAUUAACCACAAGUAAAGGAGGACUUCAGAUGUAUUAAUCCAGUGUACUGCAUGCUCCUAUUAGAACCUCAUUUGUCAUUGUCUAAAAUUUAUUUGAAAUAGCUGGAGAAAUCUGUGUAUCAGUUGGGUGUUAGAUAUUAAAGAAUUAUGAUUAUUUUCAA